rnacentral:rRNA from 1 species
GACGAACGCUGGCGGCGUGCUUAACACAUGCAAGUCGAACGGAAAGGCCUGCUUUCCCGUUGUGGAUUGCGGGUACUCGAGUGGCGAACGGGUGAGUAACACGUGAGUGAUCUGCCCCCAACUUGGGUAUAAGCCUGGGAAACUGGGUCUAAUUCCCGAUAGGACUGCAGGGUGGUGCCUGUGGUGGAAAACGUUUUCUAGUGGUUGGGGAUGAGCUCGCGGCCUAUCAGCUUGUUGGUGGGGUAAUGGCCUACCAAGGCGGCGACGGGUAGCCGGCCUGAGAGGGUGGACGGCCACAUUGGGACUGAGAUACGGCCCAG